rnacentral:rRNA from 1 species
CUUCCAUCUGGAAGAAUCUGGAGACAGGUGCUGCAUGGCUGUCGUCAGCUCGUGUCGUGAGAUGUUGGGUUAAGUCCCGCAACGAGCGCAACCCUUGCCUUUAGUUGCCAGCAGUUCGGCUGGGCACUCUAAAGGGACUGCCGGUGUUAAACCGGAGGAAGGUGGGGAUGACGUCAAGUCCUCAUGGCCUUUAUGACCAGGGCUACACGCGUACUACAAUGGCCGAUACAAAGGGCAGCGACACUGCGAGGUGAAGCCAAUCCCGUAAAAUCGGUCUCAGUCCGGAUUGGAGUCUGCAACUCGACUCCAUGAAGUUGGAAUCGCUAGUAAUCGUGGAUCAGCAUGCCACGGUGAAUACGUUCCCGGGCCUU